CAUGAAGUUGGUGUCAGGAGGAAUGGAGGAAGAAACUGUUUCAGGACAAAAAAGAGGAUUGAAUGGCCCAGCAGGAAAUAAUAAAAAAGAGAUGCCCAAAAGAGCGCGAUACCCACCGAAGAAGAUGAGCUUUUAUGACCCAGACCCUGACUCACCCAGAGAUGACCAAGCUUACACCAUGCGCUGCAGUACGCUGGAUGAUUGGACACCAGUCGAAAAAAGCCUUGAUCA